CCUACGGGCGGCAGCAGUGGGGAAUAUUGGACAAUGGGCGAAAGCCUGAUCCAGCCAUGCCGCGUGUGUGAAGAAGGCCUUCGGGUUGUAAAGCACUUUCAGCGGGGAAGAAAGCCUUGGGGCUAAUACCCUCGAGGAAGGACAUCACCCACAGAAGAAGCACCGGCUAACUCCGUGCCAGCAGCCGCGGUAAUACGGAGGGUGCGAGCGUUAAUCGGAAUUACUGGGCGUAAAGCGCGCGUAGGCGGUCUGAUAAGCCGGUUGUGAAAGCCCCGGGCUCAACCUGGGAACGGCAUCCGGAACUGUCAGGCUAGAGUGCAGGAGAGGAAGGUAGAAUUCCCGGUGUAGCGGUGAAAUGCGUAGAGAUCGGGAGGAAUACCAGUGGCGAAGGCGGCCUUCUGGACUGACACUGACGCUGAGGUGCGAAAGCGUGGGUAGCAAACAGGAUUAGAUACCCCGGUAGUC
rnacentral:rRNA from 1 species